rnacentral:rRNA from 1 species
AACGAACGCUGGCGGCAUGCCUAACACAUGCAAGUCGAACGAAUGUAGCAAUACAUGAGUGGCGAACGGGUGAGUAACGCGUGGGAACCUGCCUAGUGGUAGGGAAUAACCGCGGGAAACUGCGGCUAAUACCCUAUGAGCCCUCCGGGGGAAAGAUUUAUCGCCAUUAGAGGGGCCCGCGUCGGAUUAGCUAGUUGGUGGGGUAACGGCCCACCAAGGCGACGAUCCGUAGCUGGUCNGAGAGGAUGAUCAGCCACACUGGGACUGAGAUACGGCCCAGACUCCUACGGGAGGCAGCAGUGGGGAAUAUUGGACAAUGGGGGCAACCCUGAUCCAGCAAUGCCGCGUGAGUGAAGAAGGCCUUAGGGUUGUAAAGCUCUUUCGGCGGGGAAGAUGAUGACGGUACCCGCAGAAGAAGCCCCGGCUAACUUCGUGCCAGCAGCCGCAGUAAU